UCGGGUGUGGUGCACGGUGCACAACAGCAUCUUGUUGGCCAUGUUGAAGAAGUCUUAGCUGCAGCUCGGGGUUCGACUCCCCGCACCCGAA